ensembl:lncRNA
GGCGGGAGGUGGGCAGCGUUGUCAUUUAUUAGGUCUGCCGAGACAAUGUGGGGCUUGUCUCCAGGGUACGGAGAUGCCUGCAGAGGGUGGUCAGGAUGGGGGCCAGCAGAAGGUAAGCAAGCACAGGUCUGCUGAACGUGUGGGGCCCCUGGGGCAGGGAAGAAAGCACCUUUGUUUGGGGAGGUCAGGGCGGGGGCGCAGGGAGAGGGCGUGUCUGGGGGACUCGGGUGCGGAGAGGAGCGAGGCUUCUGUCCUUGGAGCCUGAUGGGGCUCGAGGAGAAGGGAACCCUCGCUCGGUGCAGGCGUCCGGGUGGCUGGUCCCGAUGCCCCACCUUCAGGGGCAGGUCUGGGGGGACCGUUUCCUUAUCAGCCCUGCCCCCUGAGAAGAGACCUGGGCUUCUGGAGGGAGGGUGGAGUGAGAGGUCUGCCUUGAUAUGGAGGUGCCCGGGGCGCUGCAGUUUCACCUGCCACUCAGGCUGGCUGGAGAAGCCCCCAGGAGAUGGGCAAGGCCCUGCGGGAUGUUGAGGGGGGUCCUCUGACCUCACAAUGCGGACGGAGACCUCAGUCUGCAGGCAGUGGGGAGACCCCCCCAAGCCCUCUGCCCUGAGCACCUCCCCGCUCCCCAUGACUUCAUCUCCCCGCUGACACCUCUGCUGCCCCUGUGGACGUGUGUCCCCAAACCUGGUGGCUUGCCUUGGCUCCUAACCAGCGGUCAUUUGCUUUUUAACUCAACGGGGCUUGCUGAUCCGCGGGUCAUUUCCCACCACCCUCUCUCUUUGGCAGAAGGGAUGGCCCUGCGGUCCGGGGAGAAUUAAUUUGCCCAUUUCAUGUGCUGAGUGUGUGGAGGGGCUCCACAGGGCGUGGCUGGCCCAGUAGAAGGAAAGAGGACCCCGUCCCUCUUCCCGCAGCCGCAGCCUGGACCAGCGUGAGAAGCCCUUGCUGGGCGAGCCUGGGCUGCUGGCCACCGGCCCGUGGAGUGUGGUGGGGACCCUGAGGCUGGUUUUGGACUCGGCUCUGGGCCGCCCAGGGGCCUGCUGCAGCCCCCAUCGUGCUGCCACUGGCGGGAGAGAGACGCAUGGUCUGCAGUGGGAAUCCUGCAGCGCUGCGUCUGACCUCGGCUGCCGCUGAGAGUUAGUGACAAGCGCUCACGGUAUUAGCUAAUGACAGCCAUCGCUGCUAUUCUGUGCUCCACACAUUCUGCGCCCACGCCCAUGCGCAGACGCGUGCCCGCAGGCACGUCUGCACGCACACCCAUGCGCAGACGCAUACACGCAGGCGCGUUUGGACACACAGGCAUGCGCAGACACACGCAGGCGCGUUUGGACACACAGACACACAUACAUGUAGGCCUGUUUAGACACACACACGUAUAGAUGUGUUCACACACGCAGACAUGUUCACACGUGUAGGCAUGCUCACCCACACGUCAUGUUUGGACACACAUGCACGUGGGUAUUUUCAGACAUGCACACAUACACGUAGGCAUGUUCACACACGUGUAGGUGUGUUCACACACGUGCAUGGAUGCGUGUUUGGACACACACAGAUAACGUGCACAUUCAUUUCUUCAGUGGCCUCAGGAGGCAGGCGUACCAUCCCUGUUUUACAGAUGAGGACCCUGAGGCGCAGAGAGGACACGUGACUUACGAAACUCACGCAGCUGGGAAGGGG